GAACGGUGUCUGCGGGUCGACGAUUCCUACGGGAGGCAGCAGUGAGGAAUAUUUGCGCAAUGGGGGAAACCCUGACGCAGCAACGCCGCGUGAACGAUGAAGGCCUUCGGAUCGUAAACUUCUUUUCUGAGGGAAAAUAACUGAUGGUACUUCACGAAUAAGUCACGGCUAACUACUGUGCCAGCAGCCGCGGUAAGACAGAGGGGGCGAGCGUUAUCCGGAUUUACUGGGCGUAAAGGGCGCGUAGGUGGCCUGGUAAGUUGGAUGUGAAAGCUCUCUGCUUAACUGAAAAAGGUCGUUCGAAACUGCCGUGCUUGAGGUUGAAAGAGGAUGGUGGAAUUCCUGGUGUAGUGGUGGAAUGCGUAGAUAUCGGGAGGAACACCGGUGGCGAAAGCGACUCUCUGGUCCACGACUGGACGCUGAGGUGCGAAAGCGUGGGGGACGAACGGGAUUAGAUACCCCUGGUAGUCCACGCCCUAAACGAUGGAUACUAGGUGUAGGAGGUCAUUUACCCCUUCUGUGCCGAAGCAAACAUUUUAAGUAUCCCCUGUGGAGACUACGGCCGCAAGGCUAACUCUCAUGUGAAUUGACAAUCUCUCUAGGAUC
rnacentral:rRNA from 1 species